rnacentral:lncRNA from 1 species
CUCACUGCAACCUCCACCUCCCGGGUUCAAGUGAUUCUACUGCCUCAGCCUCCCAAAUAGCUGGGAUUACAGGCUCCUGCCACCAUGCCCAGCUAAUUUUUGUGUUUUUAGUAGAGAUGGGGUUUCACCAUAUUACCGAGGCUGGUCUCGAACUCCUGACCUCAAGUGAGGUCUCCCUCCUCGGCCUCCCAAAGUGCUGGGAUUAUAGGUGUGAGCCACCAUGCCUGGCCCAAAGUCAUUUUUCUUUCCUCAAUACUUGAAGAAUUGUUUAUCCUCUGAUAGAGAGGGUUGCAUGAUCUUUUUGAGGGGAAUUGACCUUUUGCCCUUGAUGAUUCAGAGUAAAUAUUCUAGUGUUCAAGGAGAAAAUCAAUCUGAUUCAUUUGAACUAUUAUAAAUAGUACUAUUGUAGCCAGCAAUAAUAUUGUCCAGAAUGUUAGAGCUGAUGGAUUGAUGUGCAAAGCUUAGGAAGCAGCUACAAGACCUCAUUGCAUAGACCUGUGUUCCUGUAACAAUAUUCCACAAAAUCUGAAAGCUAAAGUGUCUGCAGCAGAGCAUUGCACAUAUGACCUGGAAUCAGAUGCACCCACAUCAUAGGCAACACUCAAGGGGCUUUACCAGGUUGGAAUGCUUCCAGAUGUUAUUCAUUUAGUGGACAACUUGUUCUAUAUAAUUCAAAGACAAUUUCCCAGGUGUUCUCUUCUCUGAGCACUGAGAGCAGUGAGCACGUGGAUGCUUAGGUCUCUCCAGGCCAUGUGGAAGAGAGUUUUCUUCCAUGCAGCUUUGUAGGUUGUCAGACUGUAGCAUGAAUCAGAAUCAUCUUAAAUGCCAGCAGCAGCACCCCCUCCCAAGUGAGGAAAGCAAGGACUCUUCAACUUUAUCAGCUUUCCUGAGGUUCUGAUGCAGGCACUUGCAGCCACUCUUACAAGAACAUCUUGGUAGAGGUUUAUCCCCAGGAGGAUGCAUGUUCCACAAGUCAAGGGAAUAUCCAUUAAAGAUGGCUCUAAUGAGGAAGUAGCAUUCUUUGGAAUUCUCUGCAGCCCACGAUAUGAGAUGUCUCCUGCUGUAGUCAAUGACUGAGCACGGUGGCUCACGCCUGUAAUCCAGCAUUUUGGGAGGCCGAGGUGCGU